AUACAAGGGUGUUCUGGGACGUAGAGGAUGUCUCAAUCCUUGAUCAUCUAAAUCCUGGUUUGGUUUAUAGUAAUAUCUACUCGGAUCUUGAGGAUAAGGGUUUUCAAUGUAAUGGCAUCUAUGCGUUCGUUGAUGGUAAUGUCUCGGAAACUUUGAGAAAUUCAUAUUAUAUUUCCCGAAUCUAUCUCAACAUUGGAGGAAGUAGAUAUCAGAGAGUUUACAACAUGUCAGUGCGGACUCUUCUCUGGGCAGUGAGAGAGAGAGAGCAUUUUAUGGAAUCAAAUUUGAUUAUAUUUUCAAAAAACAUUGACGAGCAGUUGACAAGUCUCGUUGAGAGUAUC